rnacentral:rRNA from 1 species
CCUACGGGUGGCAGCAGUGGGGAAUAUUGGACAAUGGGGGGAACCCUGAUCCAGCCAUGCCGCGUGUGUGAAGAAGGCCCUCGGGUUGUAAAGCACUUUCAGUGAGGAAGAACGCCUGGUGGUUAAUACCCAUCAGGAAAGACAUCACUCACAGAAGAAGCACCGGCUAACUCCGUGCCAGCAGCCGCGGUAAUACGGAGGGUGCGAGCGUUAAUCGGAAUUACUGGGCGUAAAGCGCGCGUAGGUGGCUUGAUAAGCCGGUUGUGAAAGCCCCGGGCUCAACCUGGGAACGGCAUCCGGAACUGUCAAGCUAGAGUGCAGGAGAGGAAGGUAGAAUUCCCGGAGUAGCGGUGAAAUGCGUAGAGAUCGGGAGGAAUACCAGUGGCGAAGGCGGCCUUCUGGACUGACACUGACACUGAGGUGCGAAAGCGUGGGUAGCAAACAGGAUUAGAUACCCCGGUAGUC